AGUGAACGCUGGCGGUAGGCCUAACACAUGCAAGUCGAACGGCAGCACAGUAAGAGCUUGCUCUUACGGGUGGCGAGUGGCGGACGGGUGAGGAAUACAUCGGAAUCUACUUUUUCGUGGGGGAUAACGUAGGGAAACUUACGCUAAUACCGCAUACGACCUACGGUUGAAAGCAGGGGAUCUUCGGACCUUGCGCGAUUGAAUGAGCCGAUGUCGGAUUAGCUAGUUGGCGGGGUAAAGGCCAACCAAGGCGACGAUCCGUAGCUGGUCUGAGAGGAUGGUCAGCCACACUGGAACGGAGACACGGUCCAGGCUCCUGCGGGAGGCAGCAGUGGGGAAUAUUGGACAAUGGGCGCAAGCCUGAUCCAGCCAUACCGCGUGUGUUAAGAAGGCCUUCGGGUUGUAAAGCCCUUUUGUUGGGAAAGAAAAGCAGCAGGUUAAUACGCCGCUGUUCUGACGGUACCCAAUGAAUAAGCACCGGCUAACUUCGUG
rnacentral:rRNA from 1 species